UUAUAUUAUUUUUAUAUUAUAUUAUUAUAUCAUAUUUAAAAUUAUCUAUCAUCAACUAUUUACAAAUUUUUAAAAAGGUAAAAUUAUUAAUAUAUACAUUUUAUACAUAAUUACCCUAUCACAAAUCAACUGAUGAGAUGGAUCAUCAAACACCCGGUGAGUCACAUCAAGAACGGUGGCCGUGGAUUGUAGAACCAAACCAAUUAUGAGGAUAGGCCGCACCUGCAGUAAAAGAGGAGGGGCUCCGCCGCAGCUCGUGGCUGCACAAGAUUCCUUCGUAUACGCACACCAUAUUGUAUGACGGUGGGCUCGUACAUAGGCAAUCCUAUUCUCCACAACCACAAUCGAACCUUCGUUUCGUCAUUUCUACGUCCUCUUCUACCAUUUUUUUUAAUAAUAAUCAUUUGUAUUUAGUAUAUGUACUAGUAUAGGAAAAUUAUACCUGUAUUUUGAGGAAAAAAAAGCUG
rnacentral:lncRNA from 1 species